rnacentral:rRNA from 1 species
GACGGGGGGAGCAAGCGUUGUUCGGAUUUACUGGGCGUAAAGGGCGUCUAGGCGGAUUUUCAAGUCGAGUGUGAAACCCCACGGCUCAACCGUGGAUCUGCACUCGAUACUGUUAGUCUUGAGUACGGAAGAGGAAAGCGGAAUUCCUGGUGUAGCGGUGAAAUGCGUAGAUAUCAGGAAGAACACCGGUGGCGAAGGCGGCUUUCUGGUCCGAUACUGACGCUGAAGCGCGAAAGUGCGGGGAG